rnacentral:sRNA from 1 species
UAUAAAGAGGCUUCAUGUGAUGCUUCUAGACCGAACCACCUACAUCGGCGUAUGGCCAUAAUUGUAGUUGGGGUCGGGUUAAGGUAAUUUAUCAUUUGUACUAAUUCAUAAUUCUUUUUAUUUUCUGUUAUAAAUAUCAUCUGGAAGGUCCAAGGCCAUAAGUAUUGACGAAUUGUUUAAGAAUCUUUCCAAUAGCCUUUUUAAUACAUGGCUUUUUUGUAUCAUGGAGUUGAGUCAUCCGUGUUAUAGGACUUUUAAAAUACCGAUUGCAGCAUGUUUUCGAUGUGAAAAAUCUGCAUUGGUGUAUUUGUUGAUUUGUUAUAACGCGUAAAGCAUGCAAUGUAUGCUUUUAGAUGGUAAGUUAACUUGUAAAAAUAUCGAUCUGCUAAUGUUAAGUUGUGUACAAGAAAUACUAUCCACAAAAGCGUAUAGAGACAAUCGUACCUAACCUAACACAAUGUAACAAAAUUUGAAAUUAGUUUUGUAACUUAAAAUAAACCCCCCAAAAGAAAGGUUUAAAACUUCUUUUUAUGGGCCUAUAGCAUCC